GACGUAGGGCGCGAGCGUUGUCCGGAUUUAUUGGGCGUAAAGAGCUCGUAGGCGGCUUGUUACGUCGACUGUGAAACCCGCGGCUCAACUGCGGGCCUGCAGUCGAUACGGGCAGGCUAGAGUUCGGUAGGGGAGACUGGAAUUCCUGGUGUAGCGGUGAAAUGCGCAGAUAUCAGGAGGAACACCGGUGGCGAAGGCGGCUCACUGGCCCGAUACUGACGCUGAGGCACGAAAGCGUGGGGAGCAAACAGG
rnacentral:rRNA from 1 species